UGCUCCUCUAGAGAACCCUGACUAAUACAAGGGUUUGCAAGCCUGUUCCCCACUUUCCCAUCCAUACCUCUCUCCCGUUUUUAGCUUCCCUUACUAAUUCCUGGAACUUUUCACUUUUCUCUGUCACUCUGACACAAAGAUUUAGGCUUUUAUAGCACUGAAAAUAAACUUUGUGUCCGUGCUGUUAAACCGGGCGUAACACAUGCCCGAACUCCCAAACAGACGCUAACUCUUCCUGCCCAGCUGGUACUGUAUCUGCUGCUGCUACUGCUGUUUAUAUCCAGCCUCCAUUGGAGCCAGGUACAGUGUAUCAGAGGCGCUGGACUCAGAAUUCCCUCCCUCUACCCCCACACACCUGCCAUGGCCGUGCUAACUUCUCUUCCCUUGAGAUAAGUUCUACUCGGGGAACUUUCUCAGCCUUGCCCACGUGGGCUUAUGCUGGCUGCCUCCACCUUCCUCCCAAUCAAGCUCCCAGGGUGUACGCACGAUGACCCAGUCAUUCUGGAAGUUUGCCUGCUAGAAGCUGGGGAAAACACUGUCAAAACUGCCAGCAGUUUUAUGUUUAAAGCAGAAGCAGUGUUCACGGGAGGUGUUCAAAGCUUGUCUCCCGUUUUGGAAUACUUUGCAGCUGUUCUGGAGUUUUGAAGGAAAAGGCCAGAUCCUGCCCUGGAAUGGGAAGGUCAGGUGCAGACCCUGUCCCAGGAUUUCUGGCCCUGGCGUCCUGCGAUUCCCAUUACAUGACGUCUGUCCAACAGUCAGGAGAGAGCUCCACAGUAACGCACGGAAGAGUCAUCUGUCUUCACUUUGGAAUCUGCUCAUAGAAGACAGCUACUAACUAGGGGGCUCCAGAGAGGCCAAGGAAAAGGACCUGGAGACUUGGAUCACAAAACAUUUUUGGAACUCAUACUAUGUGCUAGACACUGAAGACAGAAUACUACUCGGACAUAACAAAGGAACCUGAUACAUCUGAGGACACGGUUGAACCCCAAAGAAAUUAUGUUCAGUGACAGAAGCCAGAAGCGAACGACUCCAGUAUGGAUGAUUCCAUUUACAUGAAAUGCCCAGAAAAGACAAAUUUAUAAAGACAGAAAGUAGGAAUUAUCCUGCCUCAGCUGCGGAAGCCCAAGCGGAUCAACCUUCUAAAACAGGAGUGUGUGAUUGCUGGAUAAAGUUUGCCAAAAGCACAUCUUGCUGUUAUCCUGCACUGACUGUGACUUUCUCUGAUGGGAAACCAUACACCACGCACUGCUGUCUGCUCAGAAUCAUUGAAUAUGAAAGACGCCUGCCAUCAUUUUUAAUGCCUGCAUGAUAUUCCACUGGACGGAUGGUGAUUCAGAUGCAUGAAAAGGACUUCCUGCGGAGAGGACGUUUCGGCCGUCACCUCACUUCCCCAGGAGCGCUGCGGGCCCGUGUUGGGGUAACCGUGGGUCAGCACGAGGGAGCCGCCCUGCGUUCCCAACCACCUGGGCAACUCGCAGCCCUACAAGCUGACUCCUGACUUCUCAGCAGAGACAGAAAAAUUCAGCCCUUCGGAUGCCUGUCAACCAGCACAUUCGCAGCAACUUUCCUGGGGUACCGGAAAGAGGGGAUUAUGUUCUGCUAAAUCACCUUAUUACCUCUCAUGACUGCUUUUUAAAAAUACCAAAUGAGGGCUGGGGAUUUAGCUCAGUGGUUUCGCCGCCUGCUGUGCAAACGCAAGGACCCGAGUUCGAUCCCCGGUUCAAAAAAAAAAAAAAAACCAAAUGGGUUUCGAGGGGUAGCUCAGUAAUACAGCGCUUGCCUAGCACAUCCAAGGCCCUGAGUUCAAUCCCCAGCACGGCAAAAAUAAAUAAGUAAAAAGGCCGGGAGCACAGCUCAGUGGCAGAAGGUUUGCCUAGCUUAUCCAAGGCCCUAGGUUUGAUCCCCCAGUACCUCAAAAGCAAACAAACAUGUAAACAAGGACCACUGAGCAAGGAAAAGAAUCACAGAAGACCACCAAGUAGUAAAAAUCAAUCGAAUUUCCUCUUUCAAAAUCACUUGCUUUUGAGCCAGGCAUGGAGGGACACACCUGUGAUCCCAGCACUCUGGAGGCUGAGGCAGGAGGAACACAGCAGGUUCGAGGCCAGCCUGGGGAAUGUAGUGAACCUGUCUCAAAAAAAAAAAAAAGGAAGAGAAGAACGAGCAAGUAGAGGUCGGAGAGACCCGACAAUGGCAGGAAGAGGUGGCUGGGCUCCAGGGAGGAAGUGAGUCUGGGAGGCUCUCCCUUUCAGCUGCCCACUGGAAGUGUGGAGAACCAGGCGGGCCAUUUUUAAUACGUGAUGUUCAGUUUCUCCAGUCCUUUCUCAGAUCAACUAUGCUCUCUCUUCGUCUCAACACAGGCACAAACUUAAGAUGUCAGCAGGGAAAUAAUUUGUUCCACUUCUCCAAGUAUCCACUGCUUCCCUACAAGAGCCUCUUCUGAGCCACCCACCUGCCUCGAAGGGCGCGGCAUGGGUCUCACAGCUGCCCUCGCAGACCGGAAGCUGGCACACAGCUCUAAGGUCAUCGCGACCCUCUGCUUGCUGAUUUAACUGGUGCCUUAGUCCAGUCAGUGAGUACGCACUGGGCUGUGAGUCAAGGGAGACGGUAUCAGCAGGGUGCCAGGCACAAGUGGAGAGGGGCACCCCUGUAAUGCCAGCGCUCGGGAGUCUGAGGCAGGAGGGUCGAAGGCUGGAGGCCACCCUGGGCUCCAAAAUGUCACAGACCCAACAGCCACUGAGCAGAAGGCAGGAUGGGCUUGAGCUGGGCCAUCAGGGGAAGCAUCUGAGGAGCAGGAUUAGAGGUGGGUAUCCCAAGAGAUGGGCUAAGCACAGAGUAGGGAAGGAUGGAGAGAGGACAAAGCAACUGUGCCCACUGGGCAGUAGACUUCGCACCUCAACUGCUGGACACAGGAGACACAACGAGAACAAGCAGGAUGGGACAGAUUGAGGGGGACAGUGCAGGGUGCACCUCAAGGCUGGAGGACCAACAGGAGGUACACAGGAGCAGCACUGCCCAGGUGCCAGUUCCAGCUACAGAGAGGAGGACAACAGCACGACAGCCAGCCAGGGGCCAUGGGGAGGGCACAGUGCCACCACGCACAGGACAUGGCACACACGCCCAGUGAAGGGGCAGCCUACAAAGUAACUGGCCCGAGCCCUUCCAGAGUGUCAAGGUCACCGCUGGGCGUGGUGGCGCAGGCCCGUAAUCCCACUCAGGAGGCUGAGGCAGAAGGAUCGCCAUGAGUUCCAGGACAGCCUGGGCUACAUAGUGAGUUUGAGGCCAGCCUGAUCUAUUUAGCGAAACCCUGUCUCAAAAAACCGAAAAAAAAAUUGUCAAGGUCAUGAAAGACAGAUAGAAUGACUACGGAACUGGCCCAGAUUAAAGGAAAUGACAACUAAUGCAACAAAGAGCCUGGGUUGGCUCCUGGACAAAAGCAUUUGUUUUGUUUUGCUUUUUAAAGAUCUUUCCCCCUCUUUUUGCAUAAAGGACAACUGGUGAUACAUGAUAAGAUCUGUGGAUUGGAUAAUAACCCUAAAUCAAUGUUAAAUCUGAUUUUUCCUCCAAUACUGGGGAUCAAACUCAGGACCUUGAUUGUUAAAUCUGAUUUUGACACUUGUUUUGGAAGAAAGUGUUCUUUUUUAAGAAAAAAAAAUACCCUUAAGUAUUUAGGAGGAUAAAGGUAUACCAUGUCUAUAUUAUUCUGAAGUGGUUCAGGGAAAAUUUACAACAAAUAUAUGUGUGUGUACAUGUCUACGUGUGCGACAUAGACACAGGUAUGCCGAGUCAGGGAGUAAGAGACUGUGAUAGAAGAAUGUGGUUAGGGCCCAGGAUGUAGCUCAGUGGUACCGCACCUGCCUGCCAAGCGCAAGGUCCUGAGUUCAAUUUCCGGUACCAUAAAAAAAUGAAGAAGAAUGUGGUUAAAGGGUAUAUCUGAAUUAUUUAAAUCCUUGGAAUUUUUCUGUAAAUAUGACUUAUUUCAAAAUGAAAAGUUAAGAAAGAGGAACACUGAUUAAGGAAUCCAGUGUGACAAAAUAGUAGGUUUCCUGGUAUUAAACUCUGAAUGAAAUCUAGGGGGCAAGCUGAGCAAAACAGGGUCGAAAGGAGGGCUCCAAGCUCAGAGGUUGCCAGCUCCACAUUCAGAUCCCGAGUUCCUUUCUCUGAUCGAUUCCUAGCGAGCAGUGCCUCCCUUCAGUUACUCUAACUUCUGUCUCCCUCGGGCUCUUCACCUUCAGGACAGGAACCGGAAGAGUUGUGGCCUCAUAGCCGGAGGAAGGAGCCAGGCUUUCGGGGAGGUGAGGGGACUCGUCCAGUCCCCCUCGUCAUGGUUGGUUUUGGGGUGCAGAUGAGGCCAGGAAAGCUGAGGGGGCCCAAGGACAGGAAGGCGAAGGAGGCACAGGAGCUGGGCACGGAACCUGGGCGGCCAGUGCUGUGGAAGACAGGGACCACGAGAGGCCCAGGAGCAGAGUGACACCACCAGCCGCCGCAGGGCACAGACCAAGGAGCGGGACAGAGCCAAGGGGCCGUGAGGGCACCUCCACUGCCGCCCAGGAGCAGGCAGCUUCGGCAGGAAGACGAUGGAGAUGAAGUGUGAGCGGGCUGCCCAAGGCGAGACCCGCGGCCAGCCGGAGAGCUCAUCAGUGCCUGGGAUCUGGGGCUGCACAGUCUCCCAGUCACCAACAGCCCCGUGUGCCCCUUUAAAGGGAAUUGAAUAUUUUUCUUUUCUUUUUUUGUGGUGCUGGGGAUAGAACUGAGAAUGCCUCAUGCAUGCAAAACUUGCAGUCUGCCCCUUAAAACUUCAAUUCCUCAGUCACACUUAGCUACACUGGGAGAGCUCAGGGACAGCACUGAUAUAAAAUAUUUCCCUCGCCGCAGGAAGUUCUACGGCACAGGGCGGGGCCUCUCGAACAAUUUCCCAGGAGAUGAGUGACCUGAAUACAUGGCGGAAUGGGGGCUGGGGCAGAGGAAGGAGAGGCCACAGAAAUGGAGAUGGGGAACGGGAAAUGGAACAAGUUCCCAAAGGGCCCCGGAGGAAGGAAGAGAUUGCUGGCUUCAAGGCCAGAGAGGGCAGGGUGCCGGCCUAGGUUCCUCUGAAGACAUCUUCUUUUGAAGAAAGAAGAUAAACAAGGGCAAAAACAAGCAGAGGAAAACGCCUGGGACGAGUGAAGACACAGGGAGGACGCACAGUGAAUGAAGGCCCAGGGCUGCAAACUAGAAUGUCUGUACCUUUACCAGUGAAGGGAACUCAUGACGAGUUUAAUUAGUGAUGCAAAGCUCUGGUGUAACCUGAGUGUAACUCUAAGUGGAUGCAGUCGGAGUCAACAAAUGAUGGACUUUUUCUUUAGAAGAGCAAGACCUCAGUGAAUGAAAGCAACCAGCACAAACCAGCAAUGGAACUAGUGUGAAGGCCUCUGCUGGGUAAUACCAAGGCAGGCUGGAAGGACAGUGCACACAAUGAGGGUGAUUUGGGAUUGGAAACUGGAAUAGGAGAAGCCCAACCUGUUUUGACAAUGGAUUCCAGACUGCAGAUGGCGGAAGUGGCUGGCCACCCGAGGCUCCCAAUGGCGGGAGGGCGCCUUGAGGAGCCACAGAACGGGAACAGCAAGUGAUCAGAGUCCUCAGUGGUGGUUCGAAGCAAACACAGUGGGUGGAAAGAAUCAGCUCAGUAGGCAGAAGUCCAAGCUCUAGAUGUUGAAGGUGAAGAAAUUCUCAAGACUGAACACAUCCUAGAUGCUAGUGGUUGAAGUAAAGUGAAAACUGAAGCCCCGAGAGUUGGCAUUGAGUAACUCUAGGUGCAGUCAAUGAAUUAGAAGACCCUCUACAUAAACCCCAAAGUCACUGGCAAGAGGCAAGGCAGGGGCGGGGGAUUUAGCUCAGUGGUUCUGCUGCCUGCCUUGCAAGCGGAAGGAUCUGAGUUCAAUCCUCAGUACCAAAAAAAAAAAAAAAGAGGCAAGGCAAAGAGAAUGAAGCUGGUCCCUCCUGUCACUGGCUCACUUUGUAGCAUCAAGUGAAGUCAACACCAAACCGAAGUGAACACCAGAAUCAGCAGGGAGCUGUUUCCUCUCUUCCUCCUCCCUCCCCUGUUGCUCCUCUUUCUUCUUUUGGGGUUUGUUUUUAAAAUGAGGAUUUUGAAGUUCUCACCCACACUGAUGAUUCUACUUUGGCACACUUGAGCCUAACACAUCAUGUUUUUCAAAAUCUUCCAAGUGAUUCUGAAGACCCACCAGGGUGGGAAGUACCGAGCCAGAAGAUGAGCAUCCUUGCUCAGGUGAGAGAGAGGGCAGCAGAGAGGGCUGUUCUGAGAAAAGUCAUUCCCUGAAGCUCAGGUACAAAGGGAAGGCCAAGGAACCGCUUGGCAAUGGAAAAAUGGAAAUGCAGGAGUCUGGCUGCAGGAUGUAGGGAAGGGGACACUGCAAGACUGCAGUCACACAGGCCAGCGGCCUGCCGAGGAUGCGGGGGACUUUGCUAAUGGAGAUUCCAAGCACAGUGAGAUCUGCUCAUUGGAGGCUUAGUAGGGCUGAAUGCCUGGGCCGUAGUAUUUUUCUGUGAGCCACUGGCUUUCUAAUGUAUAAACCAUUAACGAUCACUAAGCCUCUGGUAAGCAAGCUUGCACAAGAAGCUUUUUCAUGAACCGGAAAACUUUGCCCAGCCCACAUUUUUAUACAGAUGAGAUGCGACCCAAACGAAUAUCCAGGUUCUCUCAAAGUCAGAGGGGCAGGCCUGGGAGAGGAAGGCAGGUCUGUCCCUCCAGGCAGAAGAGGGAAGUUUGCCGAUGGACAAUGUGGAAAAGGGCCUGAGUGUCUUUUUUAGUACCAGCCAGUGCUAAAAAUAGAAGAGGAACCACAGCCUAUCAGAUACUCCUUACAUACACACACACACACACACACACUCCAUGGCGGAGCUCUGAAAGCAGAUACAACGUGCAAAUCCUACCAAUGGUUCUCAAUAAAGAAACAUAUUUACUCUCACGAACCUCUUAUCUGAAGAGCAACCUGCCUGUGUUUGGCCCUGCUCCCCAGAAAGCUGCACUUUGACAGAUUCAAACCAGUCCAGCAUUGUUUCUGAUCACUCCUGCGAAAUAAUUCCUGACACCAGGUAUAGGGUCUUUAGGCUGAGGGUGCGCGCGUGCGCACUCACACACACACACACACACACGCGCGCGCGCGCGCGCGCGCGCGCACCUCAGGCACAUUGAAAAAAUGACUCAUUUAAUUUGCUGCUGCCUGCCACUACUGGGUUUUGGUUUUACCUGUUCAAAUACAAAGUUUUCUAUGAGAUCAACUACAGCAAAGAAGCAGUCGGGAGGAUUAACUCUUGAUUUUUGUUCACAACCCUGGGCUGGGGCACCCAGGGGUUUUGACCUGAGCGUUUUAAGCAGCCGCUCUGCAGACCUCAGACUGCUCUCCUGAGCAUCUUCCACAGGACAGUGACCUCCCUCGUCACUUCGGGGGUCGGUUCCAGGAAACCCCUUGCAGAAUAAACUUGGUUGAGUCUUGCAGAUCCAACACCUGACAAACCGAACCGUGCUUCAGGCUGUCCCUCGGCUCCUAGCACGACGGCACGGCGCAACACAACUGCCCAGGACCCACGUCUCUCCUUCCAAAUACGGGCAGGGUCGACCUGUCCAAGGUCACUCAGCUCGCUGGGUGGGACGGGGACGCGCCCCUGCCCCAGCGACCUGUGCACCG